rnacentral:rRNA from 1 species
AUUGAACGCUGGCGGCAGGCCUAACACAUGCAAGUCGAACGAGUGGCGGACGGGUGAGUAAUGUCUGGGAAACUGCCUGAUGGAGGGGGAUAACUAAUGGAAACGGUAGCUAAUACCGCAUACCAUCAGAUGUGCCCAGAUGGGAUUAGCUAGUGGGUGGGGGAACGGCGCACCAAGGCGACGAUCCCUAUCUGGUCUGAGAGGAUGACCAGCCACACUGUACCUGAGACACGGUCCAGAAUCCGACGGUAGGCAGCAGUGGGGAAUAUUGCACAAUGGGCGCAAGCCUGAUGCAGCCAUGCAGCGUGUAUGAAGAAGGCCUUCGGGUUGUAAAGUACUUUCAGCUGGGAGGCGUUACCCGCAGAAGAAGCACCGGCUAACUCCGUGCCAGCAGCCGCGGUAAUAC